rnacentral:rRNA from 1 species
CGGGAAACUGGGGAUAAUACCCGAUAGGUCUCGAUUGCUGGAAUGCAUCGAGAUUUAAAGCUCCGGCGCCUAAGGAUGGGUCUGCGGCCUAUCAGGUAGUAGUGGGUGUAGCGUACCUACUAGCCUACGACGGGUACGGGUUGUGAGAGCAAGAGCCCGGAGAUGGAUUCUGAGACACGAAUCCAGGCCCUACGGGGUGCAGCAGGCGCGAAAACUUUACAAUGCUGGCAACAGCGAUAAGGGAACCUCGAGUGCCAGGUUACAAAUCUGGCUGUCGAGAUGCCUAAAAAGCAUUUCAUAGCAAGGGCCGGGCAAGACCGGUGCCAGCCGCCGCGGUAAUA